rfam:Schistosoma margrebowiei strain Zambia genome assembly, scaffold: SMRZ_scaffold0001023
AUCCAGCUGACGAGUCCCAAAUAAGACGGAACACACAUCCUGGAU